GAUAUUAUCAAGUGGCGUUGGAAGCCCAAAGGCUGUGAUCUUCCUCGAUUUGAUCCGGUUCGAUUUUUGGAGCGGUUCAGGAACACCAUCGCUGUACUCUCUUUCACUUGAAAAGUGGUCAGCUGAUGCUAAUGGUGGCACAUUAGAAUCGCUUGGAUAUAAUGAGGGUUUUUGAGUUGAUGUUGAUAUCCCAGAUGGUACAUGGGCCGAGGCUCCAAGGUUGCAUGAUAUUCUUAUCUUUAACACAAGACACUGAUCUCAUUUGUGGAGAGAAGAAUGCGGCCAGGUGGGAUCAAGUUCUUCCGCACACAAUCCCCUGGACAUUUUGAAGGAGGUG